UAAGUCAGCUCCCAGAGUCCUCUGAGGGAAAGAGCCUCCAUUCAUUCUCUUUGAGUUGCUUUCCCACCUCACACACACCUGAAAAACAGGUCAGAUUCACCUUACCUUUCUCACAGUGGCUUCCUGUGAAUCCAGAAGGACAGGCACAUUUGUUAGGAGCCACACAGGUACCUCCAUAUCUGCAGCCCUCCUCACAGAAUGCUUUGCAGAUGGUGCCAUUUCCCACGUAGCCUGGCUGGCAGGUACAGCUGUGUCCCUGGACUGUGUUGG